rnacentral:rRNA from 1 species
AACUUAGUGGCGGACGGGUGAGUAACGCGUGAGUAACCUGCCUUUCAGAGGGGGAUAACGUCCUGAAAAGGACGCUAAUACCGCAUGAUAUAUUUGUGCCGCAUGGUAUGGAUAUCAAAGGAGCAAUCCGCUGGAAGAUGGACUCGCGUCCGAUUAGCUAGUUGGAGGGGUAACGGCCCACCAAGGCGACGAUCGGUAGCCGGACUGAGAGGUUGAACGGCCACAUUGGGACUGAGACACGGCCCAGACUCCUACGGGAGGCAGCAGUGGGGGAUAUUGCGCAAUGGGGGAAACCCUGACGCAGCAACGCCGCGUGAAGGAAGAAGGUUUUCGGAUUGUAAACUUCUUUUCUAAGGGACGAAGAAGUGACGGUACCUUAGGAAUAAGCUCCGGCUAACUACGUGCCAGCAGCCGCGGUAAUACGUAGGGAGCAAGCGUUGUCCGGAUUUACUGGGUGUAAAGGGUGCGUAGGCGGCAAUGCAAGUCAGAUGUGAAAUGCACGGGCUCAACCCGUGAGCUGCAUUUGAAACUGUGUUGCUUGAGUGAGGUAGAGGCAGGCGGAAUUCCCGGUGUAGCGGUGAAGUGCGUAGAGAUCGG